rnacentral:rRNA from 1 species
UGGGGGAUAUUGGACAAUGGGCGGAAGCCUGAUCCAGCAGCGCCGCGUGAGGGAUGACGGCCUUCGGGUUGUAAACCUCUUUCAGCACAGACGAGCGCAAGUGACGGUAUGUGCAGAAGAAGGACCGGCCAACUACGUGCCAGCACCGCGGUAAUACGUAGGGUCCGAGCGUUGUCCGGAAUUAUGGGCGUAAAGGGCUCGUAGGCGGUUUNUUGCGUCGGGAGUGAAAACACCGGGCUUAACUCGGUGCUUGCUUUCGAUACGGGCAGACUAGAGGCAUUCAGGGGAGAACGGAAUUCCUGGUGUAGCGGUGAAAUGCGCAGAUAUCAGGAGGAACACCGGUGGCGAAGGCGGUUCUCUGGGAAUGUCCUGACGCUGAGGAGCGAAAGUGUGGGGAGCGACAGGAUUAGAUACCCUGGUAGUCCACACCGUAAANGUUGGGCGCUAGGUGUGGGAUCCAUUCCACGGGGUUCCGUGCCGCAGCUAACGC